GUCAUGCGUGUUUUGAAAUAUGCAUAUCCAGAAGUGCCAAAAUAGCCUAGGUCAGAUUUCAGAAUAUAUCCGCUUUAAUUGACCUUGAGCAGUUAUGUAUGCUGUUGAAUGUGAAUUGGAUCUGAUAAAGAUCUGGUGUGUUGCCAAAGCCGCAGUCAAUGUGCUUGUGAAUAGCAUCUUAGCAGCAUUCCAAAUUCAUCCAGUAUGGUGUCAAGGAUGUUUAUUGAAGUGCCCACAACUGGAUGAAGAUUCCUGAUGCAUCAGAUGGAUGUUCCUAUGCCCUGUGAAGAUGAAGAGGAGAUAGAGCAAUAUGUCUACAGUGUUACUGCAUUUACCUCUCAAUAUGGGAGUGAAGGGUUUAUUUCAUACACAAUGCAAAAUAUAAUUGGUCCGCCAUCACAUCCUCAAGAGCAUGGUGACUUUGCAAGCUCAGCUGCAUUGGCUACAUACGGCACGUGGUGGAGCCAGUGUCCGUCCGCUCGGCGACCAUUUAACUCCAACACACCACCGAACGUGCCUGGCCAGGACUUUGUGGGUAUGAAUCCAAUCUGGAGUUCGCCGAGGCCGUAUACCCGCUGCAGCUGUCCGUGUUCGAGACGUACCACCCCGGCGGCCUACUGCGCGUGUGGGCGCGCUGGACGGGGUCCGACGGGCCGCGCUG